rnacentral:rRNA from 1 species
AUUGAACGCUGGCGGCAUGCUUUACACAUGCAAGUCGAACGGCAGCGCGGGCUUCUUCCUGGCGGCGAGUUGCGAACGGGUGAGUAAUGCACCGGAACGUGCCCAGUCGUUGGGGAUAGCCCGGCUAAAGCCGGCUUAAUACCGCAUACGACCUGAUGUUGAAAGCGGGGGUCCGAAAGUCCUCGCGCGAUUUGAUCGGCCGAUGUCGGAGUAGCUAGUUGGUUGGGUAAGGGCUUACCAAGGCGACGAUCCGUAGCUGGUCUGAGAGGACGACCAGCCACACUGGGACUGAGACACGGUCCAGACUCCUACGGGAGGCAGCAGUGGGGAAUUUUGGACAAUGGGGGAAACCCUGAUCCAGCAAUGCCGCGUGCGGGAAGAAGGCCUUCGGGUUGUAAACCGCUUUUGUUAGGGAAGAAAUACUCUGGGAUAAUACCCCGGGGGCAUGACGGUACCGGAAGAAUAAGCACCGGCUAACUACGUG